rnacentral:lncRNA from 1 species
CCACAUAACCUCUGCGGCUACUGCCCUAGAACAAAUCAUCACCAUCUCUGCUUGGCCCUUCCCUGUAACCUCUGACUGGCUUGCCUACUUCAGUUCUUUCCUUCUGUACCCCCUCCCUCAUGUUAUUUGCCACAUAAAAGCAAGAGUUAUCCUUUUUUAAAAAAAUGCAAAUUGUGGUAGCACACCCCUGUAACCCCAGCUACUCUGGAGGCUGAAGCAAGAGCAUUGUUUGAACUCAACAGUUGGAGGCUGUAGUGUACUAUGAUCACCCCUGUAGAUAAUCCACUGCACUCUAGCCUGGGCAACACAUCGAGACCCUGUCUCUUAUAACAAAAAAAAAAAAACCUACAAGUCCAAUUGUGCCUUAAAACUCUCUUUUGGCAUGUCAUCGCAUUUAGAACAAAAUCCUGCGUUCCUAAGUCCUUACCCUGCCUUCCUAGAAGGCUUUAAUGAUCUGUCCCCUCUGCCUUUGGUGUUCACUCUGCUUUGGCCACUGGGACCUUCUCAGUCCUCAAUUCACCAAACACACUCCUGGAUUAGGGUCUUUAUACUUACUGUUCACUCUGCCUGAAAUGUUCUUCCCUCAGAUGAGCACUUGGCAUGCUCACAUACUUCUUUCAGGUCUUUGUUCAAAUGUCACCUCCUCAGAGAGGCUUUUGCUGACAAACCUAUUCAAAAUUGCAUCCUCUGGCCCCACUUUACACUCUAAUUCCUUACACUGCUUUAUUUUAUUCUUCAUAGUACUUAUCAUCAUUAUCAAGCAUGUAUCACUUAUUGUUUAUUUGCUUGCUUCUUGUCUGUUUUCCUUACAAGAUUGAAAUCUUCAUGAAGGUAGGGACUCUGUUUUGUUCACUAUGUUAUCCUUAGUGCUAAAAACAGUGCCUGGCACCUAGUAGGCACUUUUUACUUAAUAUCUAAAUCAAUACAUAUAUGAAUGAGUGAAUGAAUGAAUGAAUGAGUGAAUGAAAAACUCCAAGUCUACUCUCAACUUUGCAGGAAUUCUUUUUCGAGUAUCAGUCUGAUCCUGUCUGGCUUCUAUCUUUUGUGCUUUUAUAGAUUCCUUAAAAUUCUAGUCUGCCAAUAGUACCUAUUCUGAUUUAAGUAAAGUUAUGAGAUUCAUUUUGUUUUUAAUUUUUUCUGAGGAAUAUUUUUUUCUGAAGAGAUAAGCAGAUUGAUGAGCUCAUCUUGAUCUUUGUCAGUAUAUUUAAAUCAUUGGUUAGGAUAAUUUUUAACAUGUUAAACUUUAGGGCUCAGAGACUCUUUAACUUCCUCAUGUUACAGAUUUUAAAAUGAGACUCAGAGAAGUGAUUCAGUUUACCCAAAUCCCCCUACAAAACACAGCUCUAAAUAAAUACUAAUUCUGUGCCUCUGCAAAAUAUUGUGCAGGCUCACUUGCGAGGCAUGCAGGAAACUCAACAACUGUCAGAAAGAAAGCUCGGAAAUGGCAGAAGGAUCUCAGAAAUAAUCUUAGCUGUAAGGACUGGCCUCAAAGACGGUGGCACCAUUUGAAUCAUAGGGCUUAGCAAACUCAAGGUUAUCUUUUCAAUCUGUUGAUUGCUUCCUUGGCUGUGCAGAAGCUCUUUGGUUUGAUAUAACCCCAUUUGUUUAUUUUUGCUUUCAUGGCCUAUGUUUUUGAGGUCUUAUUCACAAAAUCUUUUCCCACACCAACGUCCUAAAGUGUUUCCUUUUUUUUUUUCUAGUAGUUUAUAGUUUUGGAUCUUACAUUUAGGUCUUGGGUCCAUUUUGAAUUGAUUUUUUUAAUAGAGUGAGAGGUGGGGGUUUAGUUUCAUUCUUCUGCAUAUGGACAUCCAGUUUCCCCAGCACCAUUUAUUAUAGAGACUAUCCUUUCCCUAAUGGCUCACCCUUAGUGCCUUCUAGGUAAGACUGCCUUGGCUUCCCUCUGCUAAUCAGGGAAAAGGUGAUUGGAUAGAGUCAUGUUUCACCUGAAGUAUUUUGGCCCCUUAUCUGAACCAGUCAUUACAUCUUAAGGCAGUUGUAACUAGGCUGCUAUAAUGAUCUGACAAAAGACCUAUUCCUCCAACAUUACCAGUCAUUAACUUUCCAAGACAAGAUGUGACAUGCCACAGCCCUCAGAUAGUUCAUCCAGAAGGAGUCUCUUCUUGACAAAUAUAAUCCCUCUUCACCUUUGUUCAUGACAAUUUUAUUUCUUCCACGGUGUCAAACUACCAAUUUUUCCAAGUCAG